rnacentral:misc_RNA from 1 species
CCUGCUGAAUGACUUGUAUAUUUUCUAUUUUGAAAUGAAUUAGGUCUUUUCAUGUUCAAUUUUCUUGAUGAGAUCGAAAAACAUCCAAACCAAAUUGCAGGAGUACUGAAUAGAAUUAACUCUUAAUGAAUUGAAUAAAGUUGAAUCAUUAAACCUGAGACUGGUUAUUAAUCAUAAAACAUCAGGCCACUUCAAGAGAUCGGAAAACCAUUACACGUGAACAUGAGAUCGGACGGUGUCGUGACCGAAUAUCGACUGAAACCUUGAAACAUUUGAAGAGUGAUU